rnacentral:rRNA from 1 species
AUUGAACGCUGGCGGCAGGCUUAACACAUGCAAGUCGAGCGGAGAUGAGGUGCUUGCACCUUAUCUUAGCGGCGGACGGGUGAGUAAUGCUUGGGAAUCUGCCUAUUAGUGGGGGACAACAUUCCGAAAGGAAUGCUAAUACCGCAUACGUCCUACGGGAGAAAGCAGGGGAUCUUCGGACCUUGCGCUAAUAGAUGAGCCUAAGUCGGAUUAGCUAGUUGGUGGGGUAAAGGCCUACCAAGGCGACGAUCUGUAGCGGGUCUGAGAGGAUGAUCCGCCACACUGGGACUGAGACACGGCCCAGACUCCUACGGGAGGCAGCAGUGGGGAAUAUUGGGCAAUGGGGGGAACCCUGAUCCAGCCAUGCCGCGUGUGUGAAGAAGGCCUUAUGGUUGUAAAGCACUUUAAGCGAGGAGGAGGCUACUGAGACUAAUACUCUUGGAUAGUGGACGUUACUCGCAGAAUAAGCACCGGCUAACUCUGUGCCAGCCGCCGCGGUAAGAC